rnacentral:rRNA from 1 species
AUUGAACGCUGGCGGCAGGCCUAACACAUGCAAGUCGAGCGGGGACUUCGGUCCUAGCGGCGAACGGGUGAGGAAUGCUUGGGAAUCUGCCUAUUAGUGGGGGACAACAUUCCGAAAGGAAUGCUAAUACCGCAUACGUCCUACGGGAGAAAGCAGGAGAUCUUCGGACCUUGCGCUAAUAGAUGAGCCUAAGUCGGAUUAGCUAGUUGGUGGGGUAAAGGCCUACCAAGGCGACGAUCUGUAGCUGGGCUGAGAGGAUGAUCCGCCACACUGGGACUGAGACACGGCCCAGACUCCUACGGGAGGCAGCAGUGGGGAAUAUUGGACAAUGGGGGGAACCCUGAUCCAGCCAUGCCGCGUGUGUGAAGAAGGCCUUAUGGUUGUAAAGCACUUUAAGCGAGGAGGAGGCUACUGAGACUAAUACUCUUGGAUAGUGGACGUUACUCGCAGAAUAAGCACCGGCUAACUCUGUGCCAGCCGCCGCGGUAACAC